AGAGAAGAGAGGGGUGGUAGUAGGUAGUAGUGGAGGUGGUGAGAGCAGAGAGGGGUGGUAGUUGGUAGUAGUGGAGGUGGUGAGAGAAGAGAUGGGUGGUAGUAGGUAGUAGUGGAGGUGGUGAGAGAAGAGAUGAGUGGUAGUUGGUAGUAGUGGAGGUGGUGAGAGAAGAGAGGGGUGGUAGUAGGUGGUGGUGGAGGUGGUGAGAGAAGAGAGGGGUGGUAGUAGGUAGUAGUGGAGGUGGUGAGAGAAGAGAGGGGUGGUAGUUGGUAGUAGUGGAGGUGGUGAGAGAAGAGAGGGGUGGUAGUCGGUAGCAGUGGAGGUGGUGAGAGAAGAGAGGGGUGGUAGUAGGUAGUAGUGGAGGUGGUGAGAGCAGAGAGGGGUUGUAGUUGGUAGUAGUGGAGGUGGUGAGAGAAGAGAUGGGUGGUAGUUGGUAGUAGUGGAGGUGGUGAGAGAAGAGAUGGGUGGUAGUAGUGGAGGUGGGGAGAGAAGAGAGGGGUGGUAGUAGGUAGUAGUGGAGGUGGUGAGAGAAGAGCGGGGUGGUAGUAGGUAGUAGUGGAGGUGGUGAGAGAAGAGAUGGGUGGUAGUAGGUAGCAGUGGAGGUGGUGAGAGAAGAGAGGCGUGGUAGUUGGUAGUAGUGGAGGUGGUGAGAAAAGAGAGGGGUGGUAGUAGUGGAGGUGGUGAGAGAAGAGACCGGUGGUAGUAGGUAGUAGUGGAGGUGGUGAGAGAAGAGAGGGGUGGUAGUAGGUAGUAGUGGAGGUGGUGAGAGCAGAGAGGGGUGGUAGUUGGUAGUAGUGGAGGUGGUGAGAGAAGAGACCGGUGGUAGUAGGUAGUAGUGGAGGUGGUGAGAGAAGAGAGGGGUGGUAGUAGGUAGUAGUGGAGGUGGUGAGAGCAGAGAGGGGUGGUAGUUGGUAGUAUUGGAGGUGGUGAGAGAAGAGAUGGGUGGUAAUAGGUAGUAGUGGAGGUGGUGAGAGAAGAGAUGGGUGGUAGUAGUGGAGGUGGGGAGAGAAGAGAGGGGUGGUAGUAGGUAGCAGUGGAGGUGGUGAGAGAAGAGAGGGGUGGUAGUAGGUAGUAGUGGAGGUGGUGAGAGAAGAGAUGGGUGGUAGUAGGUAGCAGUGGAGGUGGUGAGAGAAGAGAGGGGUGGUAGUUGGUAGCAGUGGAGGUGGUGAGAGAAGAGAUGGGUGGUAGUAGGUAGUAGUGGAGGUGGUGGACUAUGAACUCAGACUAUUGUGAUCCCAAAUAGCACCCCUUUUCCCUGAGUAGUGCACUACUUUUGACCAAGGACUCAUCACACCAAAGGGUAAAUGGAUGUAAUUUACGGGCCAUUUGGAACGCGUACUAGAAUACUAGCAGAUGUCCAGUUGCAAACAGUCUGUAAAUGCCCUGUACUGUGGUGAAUGGAGAGAUAGAGGGAUGGAGAGAUGGAGGG
rnacentral:lncRNA from 1 species